CCCUUAGAUGUUCUGGGCUGCACGCGCGCUACACUGAUGCGCUCAACGAGUUUACGACCUUGCCCGGAAGGGUUGGGUAAUCUUUUUAAAACGCAUCGUGAUGGGGAUAGAUUAUUGCAAUUAUUAAUCUUUAACGAGGAAUUCCUAGUAAGCGCGAGUCAUCAGCUCGUGCUGAUUACGUCCCUGCCCUUUGUACACACCGCCCGUCGCACCUACCGAUUGAAUGGUCCGGUGAAAUCUUCGGAUUGAGACUUUGAUUUCUUCACGGAAAACGCUGUUUUAAAAAGUUGAUUAAACCUUACCAUUUAGAGGAAGGUGAAGUCGUAACA
rnacentral:rRNA from 1 species